CUAGGUGAAAAGUGUCAUCCCUGAACAGACUGAUAUGGGAUGACACUUAACACACAUGCAUUAAGUCCUGUCUAGGUGAAAAGUGUCAUCCCUGAACAGACUGAUAUGGGAUGACACUUAACACACAUGCAUUAAGUCCUGUCUAGGUGAAAAGUGUCAUCCCUGAACAGACUGAUAUGGGAUGACACUUAACACACAUGCAUUAAGUCCUGUCUAGGUGAAAAGUGUCAUCCCUGAACAGACUGAUAUGGGAUGACACUUAACACACAUGCAUUAAGUCCUGUCUAGGUGAAAAGUGUCAUCCCUGAACAGACUGAUAUGGGAUGACAC